rnacentral:rRNA from 1 species
UCUUUUUCCACCGGAACUUGCUCCAACGGAAAAAGANGAAGUGGCGAACGGGUGAGUAACACGUGGGUAACCUGCCCAUCAGAAGGGGAUAACACUUGGAAACAGGUGCUAAUACCGUAUAACAAUCNAAACCGCAUGGUUUUGAUUUGAAAGGCGCUUUCGGGUGUCGCUGAUGGAUGGACCCGCGGUGCAUUAGCUAGUUGGUGAGGUAACGGCUCACCAAGGCCACGAUGCAUAGCCGACCUGAGAGGGUGAUCGGCCACAUUGGGACUGAGACACGGCCCAAACUCCUACGGGAGGCAGCAGUAGGGAAUCUUCGGCAAUGGACGAAAGUCUGACCGAGCAACGCCGCGUGAGUGAAGAAGGUUUUCGGAUCGUAAAACUCUGUUGUUAGAGAAGAACAAGGAUGAGAGUAACUGUUCAUCCCUUGACGGUAUCUAACCAGAAAGCCACGGCUAACUACGUGCCAGCAGCCGCGGUAAUACGUAGGUGGCAAGCGUUGUCCGGAUUUAUUGGGCGUAAAGCGAGCGCAGGCGGUUUCUUAAGUCUGAUGUGAAAGCCCCCGGCUCAACCGGGGAGGGUCAUUGGAAACUGGGAGACUUGAGUGCAGAAGAGGAGAGUGGAAUUCCAUGUGUAGCGGUGAAAUGCGUAGAUAUAUGGAGGAACACCAGUGGCGAAGGCGGCUCUCUGGUCUGUAACUGACGCUGAGGCUCGAAAGCGUGGGGAGCAAACAGGAUUAGAUACCCUGGUAGUCCACGCCGUAAACGAUGAGUGCUAAGUGUUGGAGGGUUUCCGCCCUUCAGUGCUGCAGCUAACGCAUUAAGCACUCCGCCUGGGG